CUUUACCUUUACAUUGGAUGCUCCUUUUUAAGAUAAUGAGAGUAUUACCUGACAAAGCAUUGAAGUGCGUAACAGAUUUCAUCGAUUCUGGUGUCUACCCAGAUGAUUAAAAAGUAAUAAAAUAAUUAAAAAUUUAUAAAUUUUAUUUUAUAGAUUAUUAUAUUACUUCAAAAAAUGUGUCAAUUCUUAUUUUUAUUGUUUAUGUGAUAUAACCAACAACGGCAACAACUACUUUUUAUAUAAAAUAAAUGUUUGAGACUAUUAUAAACUUAAA